rnacentral:rRNA from 1 species
UACGGGGGGAGCAAGUGUUGUUCGGAUUUACUGGGCGUAAAGGGCGCGUAGGCGGUCAGCACAAGUCAGUUGUGAAAUCUCCGGGCUUAACUCGGAAAGGUCAACUGAUACUGUGCGGCUAGAGUGCAGAAGGGGCAACUGGAAUUCUCGGUGUAGCGGUGAAAUGCGCAGAUAUCAGGAGGAACACCGGUGGCGAAGGCGGAUCUCUGGGCCAUUACUGACGCUGAGGAGCGAAAGCGUGGGGAGCGAACAGG